rnacentral:rRNA from 1 species
GGCGAUCCGUAGCUGGUCUGAGAGGGUGACCAGCCACACUGGGACUGAGACACGGCCCAGACUCCUACGGGAGGCAGCAGUGGGGAAUAUUGGACAAUGGGCGAAAGCCUGAUCCAGCAACGCCGCGUGAGGGAUGACGGCCUUCGGGUUGUAAACCUCUUUCAGCGGGGACGAAGCGAAAGUGACGGUACCCGCAGAAGAAGGACCGGCCAACUACGUGCCAGCAGCCGCGGUAAUACGUAGGGUCCGAGCGUUGUCCGGAAUUAUUGGGCGUAAAGGGCUCGUAGGCGGUUUGUCGCGUCGGGAGUGAAAACACGGGGCUUAACCCCGUGCCUGCUUCCGAUACGGGCAGACUAGAGGUAUGCAGGGGAGAACGGAAUUCCUGGUGUAGCGGUGAAAUGCGCAGAUAUCAGGAGGAACACCGGUGGCGAAGGCGGUUCUCUGGGCAUUACCUGACGCUGAGGAGCGAAAGUGUGGGGAGCGAACAGGAUUAGAUACCCUGGUAGUCCACACCGUAAACGUUGGGCGCUAGGUGUGGGGCUCAUUCCACGAGUUCCGUGCCGCAGCUAACGCAUUAAGCGCCCCGCCUGGGGAGUACGGCCGCAAGGCUAAAACUCAAAUGAAUUGACGG